GCGGGCGUAGCUCAGUUGGUAGAGCAUCAGCCUUCCAAGCUGAGGGUCACGGGUUCGAGCCCCGUCGCCCGCU
rfam:Gemmatimonadetes bacterium 13_1_40CM_4_69_8 13_1_40cm_4_scaffold_8881, whole genome shotgun sequence.